UCCGUCAAACCUCAAAAUCUUCCCAAAGACUUAUCAUUGAAUUAUGAAUCGAUAUUAACAUACAGCAAAGCGAGGUGGUGAAAUUAUCCAUUCUUGAAGCUGCUCGAUCUGGGGGUUAACCCACCUCAAAUUCCACUACUGACGAGGAAACUUCUUCAACCCAAAAGGUACUUUCUGAUCUCUAAAACCCCUCUUUUGCAAGACGGUGUGCUACUAUGUCGCUAUUUCUUUGAACAUACUAAAAUCCACAUCAUGAAAAUAUAUUAGAAAUGAUUUAGCAUCCCAAAUAUAAUCACUGACCAAUGAGCUGCCUUCUUCUAUUGAGGUGAAUUUGUUGAUGGUCGACAAUGAAUCUUCCAUUUUGACAAAUUUGAAAUCCAUUUCUACCAUAAACUGAAUCACAUGAAGGCUAAUUUGGGCUUUAACUGCAAAUGAAUCAAGUAAAUUUUUAUUUAAAUGACUGCAUUCUUCCAUUACUUACUCAUCAUUAUUUCUAAUAAUCACCCGUGUACUCCAUUCUUUAGACCAAAAAGGAUAAAUAAAUCUUAAUGGAAAAACAAUUUCAUUUAAUAUUAUAUGUACAGAAAAUGAAGGUUUUUAAUAAUCAAAUCAAUAAUCUAAUUAUUCAUACUAUUAGUUCAUGAAUCAACUGAUGAUCCAACAAUAAUUAAAUAAAUAAUUAAAAAUUCAUAAAAUCAGUUCAACAAUUAAUUUUUUGUUUUGAUAUUUUAUUAGUUACAAAUAGUUUACUUAGAGGCUAAUUCAACUACUAUAUCGCAAUCGAUAUAUUAAUAAAUUCUCAAUCCAAUCAAUCUAACAUAUUAAUUCGAUUCAGUUCAAAUAACACAGAGACCAACUUAAACUACACUUACCUAAAAUAAUUUUUAAAAAAAUUGAUCGCAAUUUAGUUAUCAAAAAUUAAUCUAAUAUCAUAUUUACUUCACUCUAUAAUUAAAAGUCACUGAGAAAAAAAAUUCAGAAGUAAAAUUAAGAUACUGACAUGUAUCCUUUACACAUAUUUAAAAUUAAAAAAAAAUAAUUAAAUUAGAUACAUGUGAUCAUCCCAAUCCAAUUUGAGAAAUUUUUUCUUUUCCAUUGACCGUAUACAUGAUAAUAAUUUAUUUUAAUAUUCGUCUGUUAUUAUUUUUAUGUUUUUGUUAUAAGUAUUAUUAUUUUUAAUUAAAUUUCAUGAGUUGCAUUAAUCGUAUGUAAUUUUAUAUGCAAUUUAUUUUUAUAUUCGUAUGAUGCACAAAUUGAUUAUGUAUAUUUAUUUUAGUAUGCUAUAUUUUAUAGAAAAAAUUUCAUUGUUUAAAAAUUAGAACCAUUUUUAAAAUGAAAAACAAUUAAUAUAAUUUUGUAGAAAAAUGUAACAAAAUUAAAAAAUUAUUAAAAAUCCAAAAACUAAUAACAAUAAAAGUCAAAAUAGGAUGUUUUUGUUCCCAGGAAACGUAUGGAUAUACAGUUUUCAAUGUAGCAAAAAUUAAUUCUUUCUUUUUUAUUUUAAAUAACAGUUUUAGAAAAUAAGUAAUUUUUCUUUUAUAAGUUAAUGUCAUUUUAGGGUUUGAUGGGUUAUUUUUAACUUGAAUUAUUAAGUUUUGAAAGGCGAAUAUGUGGUUUAAAUAUAUAAAAAAUCUUUAUAUUUAAAAGAUGUUUUUAUAAGAAUUAAAAAAGAUAUUGUUAUAUCUUAUUGUUGCAUUCAAUUAUAUUAUUUUGUGAUUUUUGUUGAUGUUUUAGUUUUAAAUUUUAAAUAUAAUUUAAUGCACCUUCAAAAAAAUAUAAUUUAAUGCAUGAUGUUUUUGAGAAUGUAUGCUGAAAUUUUAUUCAAUAAGUUUAAACGAUGGCGCCAAAACAAAACAAACAUAAAAAUUGGGCCAAGACAAAACCCAAACACCAGCCAAAUAUCGAAGAUUGCUUAAUGUCACGGGCCGCCCCGUGACAUUUGAAGCAUCUAAGCCUCAGCCAGGGAAAUUAAUACAUUAAAUCUCCUGAAAAGCAACGGAUGAUUUUAAAGCCCAUCGGUAAUGUUUCAUUUCCUUUCCCAACAACUUUAACCCACCCAACUUCUCUUUCUACUCUCUUACCCAGACUCUUCCCCUACCCUAUCUCACCAAAAAUUGAAUAGAGAGAAAUCAGAAACCCUCUCCCAUUCGAUCCCUUUCCACUUCCUCUCUUGUAAAUAUAGGAACCCCAUCUUGCAGACAACAUUGAUCCCAUCUCUUUAGGCUUUCAGUAGCCAACAAGUGAGCAAUGCUAUUCAUCGAUCUAUGGAUGUAUUUGAACUUACAGGUAUGAAAUAUUUUGCUUAACCAUUUCCCAUCUCUAAUGUAAGCCCCAAUUUCGAAUUUGCCAUAAUCUUCUCUCCGUAGUUUUUUGAUAAUAGAGAGGGAAUCACCUUCAAUUUCAACCUUCAUAAGCCCUAGAUCCAGGCCCAGAUGAACACUUUUAAUGUAUGCAAGUGCUUCUGCAGUAAACACAGAGGGUAUAUUUUUAUUUAUCACAACUUUAGAACACAAUGCUCCAUGCUCAACCAAUGCACAAAUAUUUGUAAGGUACAUUUUCAUUUAUCACAACUUUAGAACACAAUGCUCCAUGCUCAACCAAUGCACAAAUAUUUAUAAAUUAAUCCAAAACAACACCAAUAAAAAUCUCAAAUCGAAAAUAAUUCACUCUAAUGGAAGUAUGAGAAAAGCAUUUAAACACAACAAAUAAUUCAGAGAUUUUCUAAUAAUUAUAUAAACAACCUCUCCACAAAUGUACAAAAAAAUACAAGAACAAAAUAAACAUAAUAUCAUAAGAGAGGGAGAAAACUGAAACUGCCCUAAAUAUGGAUUAAAUCGCCAGAAUAGUGAAACCUGAAAUUGUAGGCAAAACUAAAUGUAGUGCAUGGUGCCAAAAAAACUAAUUAGAAAAUAAACACAAAUAAUGAAUAAGAUUAAGAGGUUACAAAAUCAAAUAAAAACAAGGGCGAUGAAGUAGGUAAGAUUGAAGGUGUGCCCUGUCGCCAUGCUCCAAAGGAAGUAAGCGUCGAAUGUACCAACGACCUCGGUGCUCUCCCUCUGACCAGUCAACGUGUGGGCUAAGAUGGCAUGGAUAUACGUAAAGCCGGAGGUAGUGAAGUCGCAUUCGACCGACUCUGGUCAUAGGGUGUUGUACUGGUAGUCAGCUCUGUUCAGCAUAAAGAUGGUGAGUAAUGGAUGUGCGGGUAUAAAGUGAGGAACCCUUCGGCACUCAUGAACUCCUUAGUAUAGAGUCUUAAAGUAAUUCCGAAUUCUAGGAUGCUCAUAUGAUGCGUUGUACCGACGAGUUGAAAAGUAAUAGUGCAUGGCUCAUCGUGGAUCAACAUCACGUGCUGUAAGAGGAAUGUCGAACAAAACUCGAGGGUAAGAUCCGAGUAGGUGGGCUCAAUGAUGGAGAAGAACCGGUUCCAAGGAGUUGUAACAAUCAGUGCAUGGACUCGAUCAACUAAUUGAAUCUGCUCUAAGGCCGUUCAAUCAAUAGAACGACUUAAUCCUAGUGGCCGCUGUUUGAGAUGCUGAUAUAGAUCCUCUUGGGGACCCUGUAAAAAUCGGAGACAUGGAUGGCGUGUAUCGGUGGAAGCGCUCGAUGUUGAGGUCGCGCCCAGAGUCUUUUGCUUUUUUGAAGUGGAAAUAGCGAGUCAUGAUGCACCUGAAAAAUAGAUAACCAAACAACUAUUUUAGCAUUCAACGUAAAAGCACGAAUCGACAUAAUAGAACAGUUCAAAUAACAACAGAAUGAAAGUUGAAUCCAACUAAAAUCCAGAAUCACAAGAUCGAACAUUCAGCUAAAAAUAUUUGAAUCCAAAAUUCGUGUAAAAGUAGCAUCAAGAAUAUAAAAAUAAUAAAUAAAUAAGAAUAAUAGUAGAAAACACAAUUCUAAAAGAAGAGUAACAAUGAUCACAACUUCCUAAAAAUUAAUACCACUUAAAAGCAUAACAAGAAUAAAACUCAGUUUUAAUAAUUAAAAUUAUGAAUGAAAAUAAUAAAAACAAUAUGAAAAGGAACCAAAAGAAAAUAAAUAAAACGAUAACUAAAAUCACAAUAAAAAGGAAAUAAAAAAUUACUAAAACAAAUAAUAAUAAGAAUACUAGUAAAAAUAAUAAAAGAAAGAAAAAGAAAAAGAAAAAUAAAUAAAUAAAUAAAAUAAGUGAAUUGGCAAACGAUGGUGGUAGGGGGCGCAUGCGACGGUUAAUGGGGAUGGUAGUGGUCGACGGUGAAAGGACAAUGAUGGGGACGUGCGGGGCGGGGGAUAGACUUGGCGAGAGGUGGAUAAGGGUGGCGGUUUGUCGUCGAGGGAGAGAAAGGAAGGGGGAAAGGAUGGAGGGGUGAUGGGCGGUGGCUUGGGUGUGUUUUUUCGAAGGAAGAAGGGAGAUGGGGGCUCGUGGUAGACGGUGGAAAAAAGGGAAAAGAAAUGGGAAAAAGAAGAGGGAGGGAUGAAUGAGAAAGAAUGAGGGAAAAGUAAGGGGGAAAAGAAAAGAGGGGAGGGGAUCGCUGUAGUAUUGUGAGGGGGAAUGGAGGGGAAGCCAUGGAUGGUGAUCGGACUGGUAAAGGGACGACGACGACUGGUCUUUGUAAGGAGUGGCGGCUAGGGUUUGUUUUUAAAAGGUUGGGAGGAAGAAGACAAAACAAAAGAAUGGGGGAAUUAGGGUUUUAAAAGGGGACUCGAUCGUGUUUAGGCUCUUGUUGGACUAUACAGCCGUGUCAUAAGCCCGUGUGGGGCUUUUUUAGCCCUUGAGCAAUUCAAAAUUUAAGCCCAAUUUUCACACGGCCUCGGACACACCCGUGUGUCCAGGCCGUGUGUGAUCUUUCUUCACUUCUCCCAUGCUCAUGUGCGAGGCUGCGUGAAGCACACGGUGUUUCACAUGCUAUUGUGACAGGCCGUGUUUCACACACGACCGUGUCUAAGGCCCGUGUAACUCAUUAAAUUGUAAAUAAAUUUAAAAAUUAACUCCAGUAUUCACAUGGCUGUGGACACGCCUGUAUGUCCAGGCCGUGUAACUCACUGUAGAAUACCCUGUCGUGCACGCGGCUUGGGAUAUGCCCGUGUGGGUCAAUUUUUUUUAAAAAGUAAUUAAUUUAAUUUUAAAUUAACGUGUAAUAAAAUUAAAAGAAUUAACAAAUUUUAAACACUCGGGUUGCCUCCCAAAAAGUACUUAUUUAGAGUCUAAGCUCGACUCUACUUUGUACACGCACGGUUACGGUAGUUUUCGGAGCUGAAACUCCUCUUUCUUGUUAUCAAUUUUACUACCGAGAUAAGGUUUGAUCAAGUAUUGUUUACCUUAAAUGUGCCGAACUUAGAAUGUGUUACCUCGACUGUACUGUAGGCGAAGACAUUCAGUACCAUGAAUGAGUUCGAUCCGUUUGGCUUAAGCUCUGAAGGGGAAAUUAAUGGAUCCGAUUUGUCUAGCAGUACUUUGUCUCUAACCUUAAUUUGGUUUGUUCUCAUCACAUACUCAUCAUGGCGUCGCUUUGUGUCUCUAUCAUGUUUUUUCGAUUUCUCCUCAGCAUGCACUUGCCGUUCAUCUAGUUCACCGAGUUGUACCAUUCGCUCUUCAAAUGUUGUUCUGUUUCUAUUACAUUGACUGAAACAUGGCUCCAGCAUGUUUUCCCGAGGAGUUUCUUAUAGGGAAGGUUGAGCCACGUCAUUACUAACAUUAACAGAACAUUUAAUCUCAUCUCGCUCACUAGAGACUCUCACAAAAUUGCCUGCUUGGAGAAUAAUCUUAUCGUCACCUACACGAAGCAUAAGUUCACCUAUACCAACAUUGAUAAUAGUCCUAGCAGUGACUAACAAGGGUCGACCUAAGAUCAAAGGUACCUCAUAUCCUCAUCCAUGCCUGACACAAUAAAGUCAAUACGGAAUAUGAAUUUAUCAAUUUUCACAAGUACAUCCUUAAUAAUACCCCUAAGAUAUCUGAUAGUUCUAUCCGCUAAUUGGAUACUCAUCCUAGUGUGUUUGGAUUUUCCAAGACCUAGCUGUUUAAAUAUUUUGUAAGGCAUGACAUUAAUACUGGCCCUUAAAUCAGCCAAAGCAUUAUCAAAUUUAAACUACCAAUGAGACAAGGAAUAGUAAAACUCCCUAGAUCUUUUAAUUUGUUAGGUAGUUUAUUUUGGAGAAUGGCCGAGCAAACUGCAUUGAGCUCUACAGUUGACGAGUCGUCUAACUUUCUCUUAUUUGUUAAUAGUUCCUUUAAGAAUUUAACGUAAUUUGACAUCUGCGAAAGAGCAUCAACAAAUGAUAAGUUAAUGUGUAAUUUUUUAAGAAGCUUAAGAAAGUUACGAUAUUACUCGUUUGUGUGGUAUCUCUUCAUCGUGUUAGGAUAUGACACUUGAGGUUUGUAUUCUUUGACAACCGACUUUUGCUCUUUCCUAUUUUCCUCAACCUCAUCAUUAUUCACCACAAUUUCUUACCUCGAUUCUUGUUCAGGUUCAACUAACCAUUCCAUGUCUCGAACAGUAAUUGCGUGAAGCUACUUUAUAACAUACCUAACCCAUAUCCAUCAGGUUACGGAGCAUUACUGGAGUUUACAGAUUAAGUACAAACAUUUCAUAUCAUUUCUUAUUUAUAUUAGAAAUAAAUUAUAAACAAUCAUAUUGUCCUUUAUAUGAACCCUUGAGGCCCAAAAUAUGUAAUAGAAAUAAAGCGGGACUAAUUCGGGUACUCAGAGAAUAUUUAAUAAAAUUUCAAAAAUUUUCCAAGGUGCAAGGUACAUACAUCCGUGUGUGCAUUCGAAAUAGGGCACAUGGCCGUGUCCCACCCGUGUUAGUACCCGUAUAACUCUCUGACUUGGGUCACAUUGCCAAGUCACACACCCGUGUGUAAGUGCAAGGGUCACACGGCCAAGCCACACGCCCUUGUGCAAGGCCGUGUGAUCAAUUCUAAGCAUUCUAUUUUGAAAAUUUAAAGAUGUAGGGGACAUAUGACCAAUUUACAUGUUUGUGGGCUAGGCCGUUUGUCACACACGGCUGAGACACACGCCCGUGUCUCUGUUCGUGUGGACGAAAUAAGACCAUUUCUAAGCUAUAUUUCUCACCCAAUUGUUCUUCCACUACAUAGCUAAUCCAAGACUUUUAAACCAAGCCAAAAAUCAAGUCUUAUACAUGACAUAUUACUUCAUAAAUCCAUAUAUCCAAACUUACCUAUUUGACCAAAAAUACAUUUAGACAUACUUAUGAAAUUUAAUAUUAAUUGUCCAUAUUUAACACUCAUAUCAAACAUGACAUUAUCUCAUAUAUAUAUAUGUCAAAACACAUUCAUCACAAGCCAUUCCAAUGGCUAAUUGUAACCAAAACACAUAUUUGUAAUCAAUGACCUAUUUUUACCUACACAUGCCAUUAUACCAAAAUCUAGUUCUUUAUAUAUACCAAAAUGAGCUAAAGGGUAGUGCGAUGAUGCUUCGAUUAGCUUCCAACCACUUCGAGCUUCUGAAUUACUAUAAAAUAGGAAAAAUAAUACAAGGUAAGCAUAUUAUGCUUAGUAAGUUCGUAUAACUGGGAAAUUAACUUACCAUUCAUUUACAUUUAAAAUAAGCAUACAAAAAUUCAUCCAAAGAAAUUUGGCAAUUUGCCGAAACACAUAUAAUUUUGAGAAACAUGUUAGUCAUGUAAUUUAUGAGAAUAUCAAGAAAUAAGGAUGAGCUCAUCAUGUAACAAAUUUUCAUGUACAUAUGUUUUCCACAUUAUAUAUUCAUAUAACAUAUACAUUUCCAUAAUAAUUUAUCUCAAAUUUAGAUUAUCUCAUGUCAAAACUUUUCCCGUUGAAUUUAUUAGAAAUUUUGAUGGAUACACAGGUAGUACACUUGAAGUGUACAAACUGUAAUCCAUCAAUUCAUAUUCGAGAGUGCUCCUUAG
rnacentral:lncRNA from 1 species